GUGAUAAAAAAAAAUGAAGAUUCUUAGAAUAAAGAAACAAAAAUAAUAAUCCGGAUGUUAAAAUCGAAUGGGACCCAAAGUAAAAACUUGAACGUCUUCGGUGAUCUCCGUCUUGGUCUUGCUGUUGAUCAUUAUCUUGGUCUUUGUCGUGCACACUAUUAACAAAUUCUUGUAAACUACACUUGAGCAUACCCUGGACGGGCUUUUUAACUGGGCGUUGGUGGCGCUGAUUUCUUGUAUCGCCACGAGCUUUUACAUUUUAGUAUUUAGCUUUUAGUUCUCCCAGUUUCUUAGUCUUGUGCGCAGCAAAUUUUUUUAAAAUUUAUUAUUAUUUAUUAUUUGUUUUAUUAACUGGAUUAUUUUUCAAACUUUAUUUUUUUGUAAGUGACUUGUGGCUUUUUAUAAUUAAAUCCUGGUUUUCAGUGAAGUUUAUUGAGAAUUUAAUAACAGUGAAUGAUAGAUUCAAAUAUGGAAGUGUCGGAAACAUCGAAUGACAAUGACGUCGAUCAAUCGACGGUUAAUAAUAAUGAUAAUGAUAAUGAGGAUAGUAAUGACGAAGACGGUGAUAGUGAAAAUUUAAAAAUGGUCCAGGAUGUUAAGGAAGAUGUUGACGUUAAAAUUGAGCCCAAGGAAACUAUUCUUGAUGAAGAUGGGUCUACCGUUGAAGAAACUUAUGAAAUUACUACUACUAGACGUAAAACUACAACUACUACCUACAAAAUUCAAGAAACUUCAGCGUCGCACAAAAAAACCACGAUGACAACAGCCGCUAAAUUGUACGGCAAGGAUCUUAGUGAAUAUGAUGAUGUCGACGUUGAUGAACUUUUGUCCCAGUUGACGCCGGAAGAAAUAAAUAUUCUGGCUAAGGAAGUUGAUCCUGAUGAUAGUUUUAUGCCACCAUCACAAAGAUGUAGUUACGAGUGUGACAAAAGCCCAACGGGCCCGCUGAACCGUAAAAAGUUGAUAGAACAUAUCAACAAACAGGCGAUGGAGACUCCAGAUAUUCCUGAACUUAAACCAUACGUACCUGGAAUUGUUCGUGGUAAAAAGUGGGUACCACCGCCGAAAGAAAACCUCAAGGAAAAAGAAGCCGAUGAACAAAUUUCAAUAGACUUAGGUGAAGAGUAUGAACAAGCGCUCUCAUCGGCAACGCAGGAUGAAAUAAUUGAUCUAGCUGCUAUCCUUGGAUUUCAUUCAAUGAUGAACCAAGAUCAAUACCACGCAUCUCUUUUGAAUUCCGGCCAGCCAGUUGGUCUUGGUUGGGACGGUAUCACUAAAGCAAGCCAGCCUAAAGUAUUUCCUAUAGACCCGCCAAAUGACACUGAUGUUGAUCAAUCUAUCAAACAAGUCCAGAAUAAUGACAUUGAUCUUAUUGAUCUUAAUUUAAAUAAUAUUAAAAAUAUAUCUGACGAACAAUUUUUCAAAUUAUUUGAAGCACUAGAAGGCAAUACCCACUUGGAAUCAUUGAGCUUAACAAAUGUAUGUCUUACUGACAGAACAGCACAAAGAUUAGCUGAAGCAAUGGAGAAGAAUUCAACAUUGAGAAUAUUAAAUGUGGAGACAAACUUUAUCAGUCCAACAGUGAUGGUCAGACUGAUCCGAGCAUUAUUACAGACAAAGUCUAUUGAAGAAUUCCGUUGCUCGAAUCAGAGAUCGCAAGUUCUAGGGAAUAAAAUAGAAAUGGAAAUAACGCAGCUGGUUGAACAAAAUCCAACUUUGUUGCGAUUGGGUCUCCAUCUGGAGUUCAACGACGCAAGACAUCGUGUUGCUGCUCACUUACAGCGCAACAUCGACAGGAAUGGAAGUUACUCGAAAGGCGAUUACAGAAGAUACAAAUAUCAGUACAAAUACUAAAAAUCAUCUCAUGCUUGGUAGUCUGUCGUAGUGCUCUCAUCUCACCUAAAAAUUACUUUAUCUAAAAAAUUACCCAUAAAUUUACUUUAAAAUAUUUUCACUCUAUUUAAUUCUUUAUUCUAAUCUAAGUUUGUCGUAUUGAAGCUUUGCUACGCAAACAAACAGUUCCUAUAGCUGGUGGUUCUGCCGGUUUUGCUGUAGUGGAACCUGACCAAAGUCAUUAAAAAAUCUUUAAAAAAAAUAUAUAUAUUUUUUUUCUACAAUUCAUACGAAAAUCCCGACUCGGAUCAUCUGAGAUCAACGACAUGUCUCGAUCAUCAAUGACUAAGGAUUCAAAGAACUUGCAUCAAAAUUCAACUCAGAGCCCGAAGAAUUCACCAGCAAAGGCCAAAAAUCAAGAAGACGACCGAUAAAUAUUACUGGCAACAAAUUUUAAUAAUAUUAACAAUUAUCGCCAGUUAUUUUAUACAUUUUUAA
rnacentral:misc_RNA from 1 species